rnacentral:rRNA from 1 species
AGAGAGAGACAUGCGCGCAUAUCAAUAAGCGGAGGAAAAGAAACUAACAAGGAUUCCCUUAGUAACGGCGAGUGAAGCGGGAAGAGCUCAAAUUUGAAAUCUUCAAGGUUCUACCUUGACGAAUUGUAGUUUAUAGAAGUGUUUCCUGUUAGUGGAGUGGCAAAAGUUCUUUGGAAUAGGACACCAUAGAGGGUGAGAAUCCCGUAUUUGGUCAUUCCUCCUAGCGUUGUGAUACACUUUCAACGAGUCGGAUUGUUUGGGAAUGCAGUCCAAAAUGGGUGGUAAAUUUCAUCUAAAGCUAAAUAUUGGCGAGAGACCGAUAGCGAACAAGUACCGUGAGGGAAAGAUGAAAAGAACUUUGAAAAGAGAGUUAAACAGUACGUGAAAUUGUCAAAAGGGAAGCGUUUGACACCAGUGUUGUUUUUCCGAAAAUCAAUUACGAAUGUUUUGUUUCUGAGGAGUUAUGACUUCAUCGGCUGCUCCUUCUCUCCUCACGAAACUUUUGUAAUGCACUUUUCGGUUAACAAGUCAACAUCAAUUUCUUUUGUUGUAAAAGGAGUAUGCGGAAGGUGGCUUUCUUUUCGGAGAAAGUGUUUAUAGCCUUGUGCCUCUGCAAUCGGAGAGAUUGAGGUCUGCAGCGUAGAUCCUUCGGGGUUAGAUACAUUUGUGCUAAGUUAUAGCUUUUCAUAGACAACUUGUUGACUAUGUUUAGUCUUGUAGCUUACUCGCUUAUGCUAUUUUACCUACGCUUAGGAUGUUGAUAGUCACAGCGUGUA